rnacentral:rRNA from 1 species
CCUUCGGGUUAGUGGCGGACGGGUGAGUAACGCGUGGGAAUCUGCCCUCAGGAGGGGGAUAACGGUUGGAAACGACCGCUAAUACCCCAUAUGCCGAGAGGUGAAAUGAAUUUCGCCUGAGGAUGAGCCCGCGUCUGAUUAGCUUGUUGGUGAGGUAAUGGCUCACCAAGGCUUCGAUCAGUAGCUGGUCUGAGAGGAUGAUCAGCCACACUGGGACUGAGACACGGCCCAGACUCCUACGGGAGGCAGCAGUGGGGAAUUUUCCGCAAUGGGCGAAAGCCUGACGGAGCAACGCCGCGUGAGGGACGAGGGCCUCUGGGCUGUAAACCUCUUUUCUCAAGGAAGAAGAUCUGACGGUACUUGAGGAAUAAGCCACGGCUAAUUCCGUGCCAGCAGCCGCGGUAAUACGGGAGUGGCAAGCGUUAUCCGGAAUUAUUGGGCGUAAAGCGUCCGCAGGCGGCCUUUCAAGUCUGCUGUUAAAGCGUGGAGCUUAACUCCAUUAUGGCAGUG